AUCAGAAUGCCGCGUUCGUGAGCGAACUCGGAAAGUACAAAAUACCGGGCUUUGCUUGCAGGCCCACUAUCAUUUCCCUUGGGCCUGCACGCGGGCUAAAUGACACCUUCAUAAUAUAAGCUACUUGCUAAAAUUGUCAACUGUUUAAGUAAGUUAUUAAACGAUAUUGAUGUUCAAUAGACCUUAGAUCAAAGACCUUAGAUCAAAAGAUAAGGAGCAGAACCAACCUCACCUGAAGACAUAGAAAAUGUCCCAAUACGAUCUGAUUUAAAGUGGUCGCGGUUGAAAUCGCAUUUUUCCAUCUUUCGGAUUUAAAUGUUCUUCCAAUUUUCGAACAUUUGCCCAAAUUCCCAACGGUGGAAAAAUGUGAUUUCCUGCACUUUUAAAUCGGAUCGUAUUUGGCUAUUUGUGGUCGCACUCAUACAAGAAAGGUAUCAUCCUGAUCUUUAUUGCCAUGAAAAAGUGAAUGGAUAAAUGUAAUUGUAUACAGUAAUCGGGUC